rnacentral:ncRNA from 1 species
CGUUGACUACGUCCCUGCCCUUUGUACACACCGCCCGUCGCUCCUACCGAUUGAAUGGUCCGGUGAAGUGUUCGGAUCGCGGCGACGGGGGCGGUUCGCCGCCCCCGACGUCGCGAGAAGUCCAUUGAACCUUAUCAUUUAGAGGAAGGAGAAGUCGUAACAAGGUUUCCGUAGGUGAACCUGCGGAAGGAUCAUUG